rfam:Kluyvera ascorbata ATCC 33433 GKAS.assembly.020, whole genome shotgun sequence.
GGGUGCUUGAGACUGUCUGUCUCAGGUAUUCACCCGAUGGCAGACAGAGAAAAGCCCCACCUGACGAUAAAUCAAAGUGAGGCCAACUCUAUGCCUAGACCACAUAAGGUUAGCCUCUUACUUGUUGAAAAUCAACACAGGAGGCAAAGGAUG